GACGAACGCUGGCGGCGUGCUUAACACAUGCAAGUCGAACGGAAAGGCCCUGCUUUUGUGGGGUGCUCGAGUGGCGAACGGGUGAGUAACACGUGAGUAACCUGUCCUUGACUUUGGGAUAACUUCUGGAAACUGGGGCUAAUACCGGAUAGGAGCUCCUGCUGCAUGGUGGGGGUUGGAAAGUUUCGGCGGUUGGGGAUGGACUCGCGGCUUAUCAGCUUGUUGGUGGGGUAGUGGCUUACCAAGGCUUUGACGGGUAGCCGGCCUGGGAGGGUGACCGGCCACAUUGGGACUGAGAGAGGGCCCAGAAUCCUACGGGAGGCAGCAGGGGGGAAUAUUGCACAAUGGGCGGAAGCCUGAUGCAGCAACGCCGCGUGCGGGAUGACGGCCUUCGGGUUGUAAACCGCUUUCGCCUUUGACGAAGCGUGAGUGACGGUAAUGGGUAAAGAAGCACCGGCUAACUACGUG
rnacentral:rRNA from 1 species